GAGGGUGAACUUAGAACCCUCAGCUUGUUGUGUGUUAAUAGUGUAACUUUUGGCCGAGUCGCAUGGUUAGUGAAUC
rfam:Prevotella disiens FB035-09AN ctg1125417240326, whole genome shotgun sequence.